rnacentral:rRNA from 1 species
CAUGCAAGUCGAACGCUGAAGCCCAGCUUGCUGGGUGGAUGAGUGGCGAACGGGUGAGUAACACGUGGGUAAUCUGCCCUGUACUCUGGGAUAAGCCUGGGAAACUGGGUCUAAUACCGGAUAGGACACACUGCCGCAUGGUGGUGUGUGGAAAGCUCCGGCGGUACAGGUUGAGCCCGCGGCCUAUCAGCUUGUUGGUGGGGUGAUGGCCUACCAAGGCGACGACGGGUAGCCGGCCUGAGAGGGUGACCGGCCACACUGGGACUGAGACACGGCCCAGACUCCUACGGGAGGCAGCAGUGGGGAAUAUUGCACAAUGGGCGCAAGCCUGAUGCAGCGACGCCGCGUGGGGGAUGACGGCCUUCGGGUUGUAAACCCCUUUCGCCAGGGACGAAGCGUAAGUGACGGUACCUGGAGAAGAAGCACCGGCCAACUACGUGCCAGCAGCCGCGGUAAUACGUAGGGUGCAAGCGUUGUCCGGAAUUAUUGGGCGUAAAGAGCUCGUAGGCGGUGUGUCACGUCUGCCGUGAAAACCUGCGGCUUAACCGUGGGCGUGCGGUGGAUACGGGCAUCACUUGAGUUCGGUAGGGGAGACUGGAAUUCCUGGUGUAGCGGUGGAAUGCGCAGAUAUCAGGAGGAACA